rnacentral:rRNA from 1 species
UACGGGGGGGAGCAAGCGUUGUUCGGAUUUACUGGGCGUAAAGGGCGCGUAGGCGGCCACCGCAAGUCGGUUGUGAAAUCUCUGGGCUUAAACUCAGAAAGGUCAACCGAUACUGCGGGGCUAGAGUGCAGAAGGGGCAACUGGAAUUCUCGGUGUAGCGGUGAAAUGCGUAGAUAUCGAGAGGAACACCUGCGGCGAAGGCGGUUCUCUGGGCCUGACCUGACGCUGAGGAGCGAAAGCGUGGGGAGCGAACAGG